rnacentral:SRP_RNA from 1 species
GCCGGGCAUGGUGGCGCAUGCCUGUAAUCCCAGCUACUCUGGAGGCUGAGGCAGGGGAAUCACUUGAACCCAGGAGGUGGAGUUGAGGUGAGCCGAGAUGGUGCCAUUGCACUCCAGCCUGGGUGACAGAGUGCAACUCCGUCUCAA